rnacentral:lncRNA from 1 species
AUUUCAUUAAAUGCCUCAGCACAAGUGUGUUAGACACAGACACAGGAGACAGGGAGCCUGUCUCAGGCUUAAGUCUGAGUAGAUGAAGAAACACUUGAAGAGCAGAGGCAAAUGUGUGGAGAGGACACAGUUGUGCUGGUAAGAGGCAGACAGUGUGGGUUGGAGGAGAGAGAAGACAUCCACCACAACACUAAAAGCCAUUUUUUUGGUGGCCUGGAAGAUGAGUUUGGAAGCUGAACUGGUUUAUGGAAUGUGUAUAGGAGGAAGAAAUGGCUUAGCGACGCAGUUGACACUCAGUUUGGACUCACUCUGUGACAGCCUUGUGCAGCUGUCUGAAGGGUGUGAGAGAGAAUAGGCUUCCCUGGAGUGGCCGUGCUGAGAGAGAGUCCUUUCAGCAGGGCUGAGAUCAAAUCCAGACCCUUGCACAAGGUGUUUACAUCCCUGAGUACAUUGGGAUGACUGGCAUGGAGAGCUGCUCCAGCUGCCAGUCAGAGCCGGAACAUGCAGGAUACUUGUGCGUCUGCAAGUAAGGACAACCUUGA